GAGGGCCCUCUGGGUCCAACCUCCCACCCGUGUUUAUCGUACCUUGUUGCUUCGGCGAGCCCGCCUCACGGCCGCCGGGGGGCAUCUGCCCCCGGGCCCGCGCUCGCCGAAGACACACAAACGAACUCUUGUCUGAAGAUUGCAGUCUGAGUACUUGACUAAAUCAGUUA